rnacentral:rRNA from 1 species
AGGAUGAACGCUGGCGGCGUGCUUAACACAUGCAAGUCGAACGGUUCCGCAAGGGACAGUGGCGCACGGGUGAGGAACACGUAGCUCAUCUGCCCUCAAGCGUGGGAUAACGCUCCGAAAGGAGUGCUAAUACCGCAUAAGCUCCCGGAUUGUAGAGGUCUGGGAGAAAAGGGGAAACUCACUUGAGGAGGAGGCUGCGGCCCAUCAGGUAGUUGGUGCGGUAACGGCUCACCAAGCCAGCGACGGGUAGGGGACCUGAGAGGGUGAUCCCCCACACUGGGACUGAGACACGGCCCAGACUCCUACGGGAGCAGCAGUGAGGAAUAUUGCCCAAUGGACGCAAGUCUGAGGCAGCGACGCCGCGUGGGCGAUGAAGGCCUUCGGGUCGUAAAGGCCCUUUUCGUCGUGUGACGAGAACGGACGGUAGCACGAAGGAAAAAGUCACGGCUAACGUACGUGCCAGCAGCCGC